GCCUCCUUAGCUCAGGGGCAGAGCACUGGUCUUGUAAACCAGGGGUCGUGAGUUCGAUUCUCACAGGGGGGAAGCA